AUGUGUGAGAGAGAAGACAAAGGAGGCAGAGAGAGAGAGAGAGACAGGUGCUGGCCAGACUUGGUGACAAACAGGCCUGACACAGUGAAGACGAAGGACUGCAGGGUCCCAGCCUGGGAUUGCGAUGGGCUGGAGGAAGGUGCUGCUAGCAUUCAUGCUUUCUGCUGGCCCGCUCUUGGCUCUCCUGUGGAAUUCAGUCCUCUGCUUCCAGGACAAGCCCAGCCUGCACUUGGGGAUCCUUGGGUGACCGUUCAACCGAAAAAUCAAGGAAGGAAGAGGACACCAUGAAAUCUCCCUACUAAAUCUUCUAAGGGGCUUGGGCAGCCAUGCCAUAAUCCUGGACCUAGUGUGAUCUCAGAUCAAGGCCUCGGAUGUUAAGUUGCCUUCAGCUGAUACCUGGCUGAGGCUGCUUCGAAGUCUGGAAGUAGCUCCCAAAUAGGCUCAUUUCCCAGUGGCCAGGUGCCACCUUCAAUGUUGGUGUCACCUCCCCCUGCCCCCAGCCCCUCAGUCAUUCCUUUCCUAAAGGUUAAGUCUAUCUAACACAAAAUACUCAGGGCCAGAAAAGCUUAGGGUUAAGGAAUACUUGUAUGUAUGUAAUAAAAACCUUGCAGCCUGUUGGUGUUUGUGAAUG
rnacentral:lncRNA from 1 species